UUUUAGCUAUGUUAGGGGGAUAUCUGUGUGUGCACGUGACUAUUACUGUGCAUAAUUAUUAGGCAACUUUACAAAAAACAAAUAUAUACCCAUUUCAAUUAUUUAUUAUUACCAGUGAAACCAAUAUAACAUCUCAACAUUCACAAAUAUACAUUUCUGACAUUCAAAAACAAAACAAAAACAAAUCAGUGACCAAUAUAGCCAC